rnacentral:lncRNA from 1 species
ACAGCCUAAGCAGAUUGUACUGCCGGGAUUAGCCUAGCACCUGAAAAGAUACCUGAAACAAGAGUUCUUAGGGAUUCGAAGUUUGGAAAUUCUCUGUGUGUGCUAUGAACCAUACGAAUUUCUGUAUUUUCGUGUGUCUAAAACAAAGCACCAAGCUUUGUAUAUAACAACCAACCAGAAUUCGAAUUGAUUAGUUUCUAUUGAAUACACAAUUCAAUAAGACUUAAUCAUUUUUUCAGUUAUGAAUUUAAACAGUCUAUAUUGAAUACAAAAUUCAAUAAAAAUUAAUUCUGAUACUUAACUAUUUUCAGUUACGAACUUGAAUAGUCUCUAGUUGACCACAAGCCAAGACACAUCUAAAAAAUACUAAAGGCGGCUCCAAGCGGCUCGCGGCGAUGCGAGCUGCAAAGUGCGCCAUCAAAGCGCCACAUUGCGCCCAUCGCCCUCGUCCCGGUCCCGGUCCCGUGCCCGAGCCCGUGCCCGAGCCCGGGCGCGGGUCGGGUGCUUCGCACCCUCCUGGCUACCACUGGGUGUGA